UUCGUAGGUGAACCUGCGGAAGGAUCAUUACUGA
rnacentral:rRNA from 1 species